CAUAUAUACCAUGAUUCCGUUUAUAUGACAUGUCUAGAUUAGGCAAAUCUAUGAGAUAGAAAGUAAUUAAUGGUUGCCUGGGGCUUGAGGUUUUGAGGGGAAC